GUCCAGGGCUACACACGUGUUACAAUGGCCGGUACAGAGGGCAGCUACCUGGUGACAGGAUGCUAAUCCCGAAAGCCGGUCCCAGUUCGGAUUGGAGUCUGCAACCCGACUCCAUGAAGUUGGAUUCGCUAGUAAUCGCGCAUCAGCCAUGGCGCGGUGAAUACGUUCCCGGGCCUU
rnacentral:rRNA from 1 species